rnacentral:rRNA from 1 species
AGAACGAACGCUGGCGGCGUGCUUAACACAUGCAAGUCGAGCGGAAAGGCCCUUCGGGGUACUCGAGCGGCGAACGGGUGAGUAACACGUGAGUAAUCUGCCCCUAGCUCUGGGAUAGCUCCGGGAAACCGGGAUUAAUACCAGAUAUUACCACUUUAGACAUCUCUUGUGGUGGAAAGAAUUUCGGCUAGGGAUGAACUCGCGGCCUAUCAGCUUGUUGGUGAGGUAACGGCUCACCAAGGCGACGACGGGUA